rnacentral:rRNA from 1 species
AUUGAACGCUGGCGGCAGGCCUAACACAUGCAAGUCGAACGAGUGGCGGACGGGUGAGUAAUGUCUGGGAAAAUGCAUGAUCGAGGGGGAUAACUAGUGUAAACCGUAGCUAAUACUGCUUACAUCCCGAUGUGCCCAGAUGGGAUUAGCUAGUAGGUGGGGUAAAGGCUCACCUAGGCGACGAUCCCUAGCUGGUCUGAGAGGAUGACCAGCCACACUGGAACUGAGACACGGUCCAGACUCCUACGGGAGGCAGCAGUGGGGAAUAUUGCACAAUGGGCGCAAGCCUGAUGCAGCCAUGCCGCGUGUAUGAAGAAGGCCUUCGGGUUGUAAAGUACUUUCAGCGGGGAGGCGUUACCCGCAGAAGAAGCACCGGCUAACUCCGUGCCAGCAGCCGCGGUAAUAC